GAAUUAGGGUUCGAUUCCGGAGAGGGAGCCUGAGAAACGGCUACCACAUCUAAGGAAGGCAGCAGGCGCGCAAAUUACCCAAUCCUAAUACAGGGAGGUAGUGACAAGAAAUAACAAUACAGAGCCUUACGGUUUUGUAAUUGGAAUGAGUUAAGUAUAAACCCCUUAACAAGUAUCAAUUGGAGGGCAAGUCUGGUGCCAGCAGCCGCGGUAAUUCCAGCUCCAAUAGCGUAUAUUAAAGUUGUUGCAGUUAAAAAGCUCGUAGUUAAUUUUCUGUUAAUUUUUAUAUACAAUGCUACGGUAUUUAUAUAAUAUUAACAUAAUUCAUAUUACUUUUUAGUAUAUGAAACUUUACUUUGAGAAAAUUAGAGUGCUUAAAGCAGGCUAUUGCCUUGAAUACUCCAGCAUGGAAUA
rnacentral:rRNA from 1 species